AUGACGGCCUUCGGGUUGUAAACCUCUUUCAGUAGGGAAGAAGCGUAAGUGACGGUACCUGCAGAAGAAGCGCCGGCUAACUACGUGCCAGCAGCCGCGGUAAUACGUAGGGCGCAAGCGUUAUCCGGAAUUAUUGGGCGUAAAGAGCUCGUAGGCGGUUUGUCGCGUCUGCCGUGAAAGUCCGGGGCUCAACUCCGGAUCUGCGGUGGGUACGGGCAGACUAGAGUGAUGUAGGGGAGACUGGAAUUCCUGGUGUAGCGGUGAAAUGCGCAGAUAUCAGGAGGAACACCGAUGGCGAAGGCAGGUCUCUGGGCAUUAACUGACGCUGAGGAGCGAAAGCAUGGGGAGCGAACAGGAUUAGAUACCCUGGUAGUCCAUGCCGUAAACGUUGGGCACUAGGUGUGGGGGACAUUCCACGUUUUCCGCGCCGUAGCUAACGCAUUAAGUGCCCCGCCUGGGGAGUACGGCCGCAAGGCUAAAACUCAAAGGAAUUGACGGGGGCCCGCACAAGCGGCGGAGCAUGCGGAUUAAUUCGAUGCAACGCGAAGAACCUUACCAAGGCUUGACAUGAACCGGAAAGAUCUGGAAACAGGUCCCCCACUUGUGGUCGGUUUACAGGUGGUGCAUGGUUGUCGUCAGCUCGUGUCGUGAGAUGUUGGGUUAAGUCCCGCAACGAGCGCAACCCUCGUUCUAUGUUGCCAGCACGUGAUGGUGGGGACUCAUAGGAGACUGCCGGGGUCAACUCGGAGGAAGGUGGGGACGACGUCAAAUCAUCAUGCCCCUUAUGUCUUGGGCUUCACGCAUGCUACAAUGGCCGGUACAAAGGGUUGCGAUACUGUGAGGUGGAGCUAAUCCCAAAAAGCCGGUCUCAGUUCGGAUUGGGGUCUGCAACUCGACCCCAUGAAGUCGGAGUCGCUAGUAAUCGCAGAUCAGCAACGCUGCGGUGAAUACGUUCCCGGGCCUUGUACACACCGCCCGUCAAGUCACGAAAGUUGGUAACACCCGAAGC
rnacentral:rRNA from 1 species